rnacentral:rRNA from 1 species
AAGGAUCAUUAUCAAAAGUCAAGUCGGGGGCUGUAAAGCUCUCGUCUACACCCAUGUCUUUUGCGUACUCUUGUUUCCUCGGUGGCGCAAGCUGCCGAUUGGACAAACCAAAACCUUUUUUGUAAUUGCAAUCAGCGUCUGAAAAUAAUCUAAUUAUUUACAACUUUCAACAACGGAUCUCUUGGUUCUGGCAUCGAUGAAGAACGCAGCGAAAUGCGAUAAGUAGUGUGAAUUGCAGAAUUCAGUGAAUCAUCGAAUCUUUGAACGCACAUUGCGCCCCUUGGUAUUCCAUGGGGCAUGCCUGUUCGAGCGUCAUUUGUACCCUCAAGCUUUGCUUGGUGUUGGGCGUCUUGUCGUAUUACGACUCGCCUUAAAUCUAUUGGCAGCCGGCACUUUGGCCUAGGAGCGCAGCACAUUUUGCGAUCGUAGCCCGUUGUACUGGCGUCCAUCAAGAACAUUUACCACGUUUGACCUCGGAUCAGGUAGGGAUACCCGCUGAAC